GCAUUUUAAUAAAUAGAGCAAUGAAUCGGCAAGGCACGUCACGGCGCGAUUGUUUCGUGACCUUCGCACAAAUCAAGAUUGGUGCAUGCGAGCGCGUCCCUUCGGACAGAUAUUGAAUCAUAGAAUGAAAUGUUUUCUUGGGUUAAGCGAACAGUAUCAAAUCGAAAAGUAGAAUCAAGUUAACGGCAUCAUGAUCAAGUCAUUGAACGGAUCGAAAGAAGGGAAAAUCGCGUUGGCCUCGAUAAUAUCCAAGAAGCGCGUCUGCGUAAUUGUUACAAGUCUAUCUACGAUUAACUAAAAUGCGGAAAAGAAUGUUGCUGUUGUUGAUGACUGGUCUGAUUGCUAGAGAAAGGAGGUAUCAUACUAUGAUCUGCUCGUAAAAAUGGAGGUGGACAUAAAUUCGAAAGCGAUGGUUGCUGAAAAUUAUUACAAAAUGAACCAUGAAUUGGUUGUCUUUGAGCAGUAUGUGGUAACAUCAAAUGUGCUGCAAUAGGAUAUCUCAGUACAUUUCCAGUUUGAUCUGUAAAAA